UUUCUGAAAUGUUAUCAGAAGUUAUGUCAGUUGGGGCCUGGCGAUAUGAGUAAAGCACUUGGGGUAUAUGGAUCUGUUGAAGACCACCGGAUUGGGUGACAAACAAAAGAGAAGAGUUAGCCCGUGGGCCAGUAAACAUUAAGCCGUAAGUACUCUCUAGUCUCGACUACCAUGUAUUUGAACAACUAAAUGAGCUCUGUGAAUGGUUCCUGAAUUAAAGUACUCGGGGGGGGGGGGGCAGUAAACAGGGAUUGGGAAUAUAUAUUCUUGCAGCCUUAUUCAUGGCGCACCGCAGUGAUCUACGCCACCGGCCACAUCUCCGACGGGCACAU
rnacentral:lncRNA from 1 species